GAGUGAUUGACAGUCAGUUUUCAAGACCAUGUGGACGAUACGGUGGCAAGGAAAUUCGCUCUUCGUUGCAAAAAAAGAAAACCAGGCCGAAAUCCGUCGACGAAAGCUGGAUUCAAUGGUCGUGAAUUGAACAUUGUGAUGAUGGAGAAAUGCUACCAUUUUGCAUGCAAAUACAAAAUCUAAAAUAAAAUUCAAACCAGACAUUUUAUGCAAUAAAAA
rnacentral:lncRNA from 1 species